rnacentral:rRNA from 1 species
CAAUAGCGUAUAUUAAAGUUGUUGCAGUUAAAAAGCUCGUAGUUGGAUUUGUGGCGUACGGUGUGUUCCGGGCACUUGUUGUCUGAGUAACCUGCUGUUGCCAUCCUUGGGUGGAACCUGUGUGGCAUUAGGUUGUCGUGCAGGGGAUGCCCAUCAUUUACUGUGAAAAAAUUAGAGUGUUCAAAGCAGGCUUAUGCCGUUGAACAUAUUAGCAUGGAAUAAUGAGAUAGGACUUUUUUGCUAUUUUGUUGGUUUGCGCAAAGAGGUAAUGAUUAAUAGGGACAGUUGGGGAUAUUCGUAUUCCAUUGUCAGAGGUGAAAUUCUUGGAUUUUUGGAAGACGAACUACUGCGAAAGCAUUUACCAAGGAUGUUUUCAUUAA